rnacentral:misc_RNA from 1 species
UCCGGUUUGUCACCGGCAGUCUCCCUAGAGUGCCCUUGCGUAGCAACUAGGGACAAGGGUUGCGCUCGUUGCGGGACUUAACCCAACAUCUCACGACACGAGCUGACGACAGCCAUGCAGCACCUGUGUUCCGAUUCCCUUUCAGGCACACCCACCUCUCAGCGGGCUCUCGGACAUGUCAAGGGUAGGUAAGGUGGGGAUGACGUCUCCUCAUGCGUU